GACGAACGCUGGCGGCGUGCUUAACACAUGCAAGUCGAACGGUGAAGCUCCAGCUUGCUGGAGUGGAUCAGUGGCGAACGGGUGAGUAACACGUGAGCAACCUGCCCCUGACUCUGGAAUAAGCGCUGGAAACGGCGUCUAAUACUGGAUACGAGAAGGGUCCGCAUGGGCACUUUCUGGAAAGUUUUUCGGUUGGGGAUGGGCUCGCGGCCUAUCAGCUUGUUGGUGAGGUAAUGGCUCACCAAGGCGACGACGGGUAGCCGGCCUGAGAGGGCGACCGGCCACACUGGGACUGAGACACGGCCCAGACUCCUACGGGAGGCAGCAGUGGGGAAUAUUGCACAAUGGGCGAAAGCCUGAUGCAGCGACGCCGCGUGAGGGAUGACGGCCUUCGGGUUGUAAACCUCUUUCAGCAUGGAAGAAGCGAAAGUGACGGUACCUGCAGAAGAAGCACCGGCUAACUACGUG
rnacentral:rRNA from 1 species